GCAAUUUAGGCCCUAAGCAACUUAGUGAAAAUCUGUCUCAAAUUUUUAUAAAAAUAAUAAAAAGGGCAGAGAUGGAGCUCAGUGACCAAGUGCCUCUGGGUUCAAUCAUCAGUGCCAAAAAACCAAAAAUGGCUUUGAGGGUAUAGCUUAAUGGCAAAAUGCAUGCUUAGCAGGGACAAGGUUCUAUGUUAAAUCCCAAGUAUGCAUGCAAGUGUUUUUUGUUGGUGGUGGUAGUACCGGGCAUUGAACCCAGGGAUGCUUAACUACAGAGCUACACCCCCAGUCCUUUUCUAUGAUUUUAUUUAGAGACAUGGUCUUACUCAGUUGCUUAGGGCCUUGGUAAGUUGCUGAAGCUGGCUUUGAACUCUCGAUCUUCCUAUCUCAGCCUCCUAAGCUACUGGGAUUACAGGCAUAUGCCACAAUGAACACACAGGCUCUUAUGAAAAUAAAUCCCUCUUGUUUUGCACAGAAUGCAUUUCCAUACAAGUUCCCUACAAAUACUCUAUACAAGUUCCAUUGUAUAGAGUACUUGUAGGAAAUCCCUGUUGUUUUGCACAGAAUGCAUUUCCGUACAAGUUCCAUACAAGUACUCUAAACAAGUUCCACUGUAUAGAGUACAAUGUCAGAGACUAAAGAAAAAAUGUGAAUACUUAUUACAAAAAGGCAGGUGUUUAAGCAACCAAUUUAUUCUUUUUAUUUUGAAGUUUGAUUGAUGAUUAAUUUAUAUGCCAUAUAAUAUACCUAUGAAAUUAUAUAGUUCUAUGAGUUUUUUGCACAUUCAGACUUGUGUAACUAUCUUCAUAAUUUUAGAAUAUAUUUUUUAUCAUCCCCAAAAGAAACCUGUUACCUAGUGACACUCCCCAUUUUCCUCCAAUGUCCCCAGCUCUAGGCAACAAUCUACAUUAUGUCAUUUAUAGAUUUGCCUACUCCAUUGGGUGAGGUGGCAUAUGCUUGUAAUUCCAGCUACUAGGGAGGCCAAUGCUGGAGGAUCUCAAGUUCAGGCAAGCUAGGCAAUUUAGCAAGAUCCUGACUCAAAAUAAGGUACUGGGGAUUAAAUCAAGGUGCACUCAGCCACUGAGCCACAUCCCCAGUGCCCCCCCCCCCCCCGCUUUUUGUAUAUUUUAUUUUGAGACAGGGUCUCACUAAGUUGCUGAACUCCUCACUAAAUUGCUGAGGCUGGCUUUGAACUUGCAAUUCUCCUGCCUCACCCUACCAAGCUGCUGGGAUUAUAGGUGUGCAUUACCACAUCUGGCUCAAAAUAAAAUUUUAAAAGUUAUGGGGUGUAGCUCAGUGGUAGAGUGCUUGCCUAGCAUAUGCAAGGAUAUGGGUUCAAUCCCCAGUAUUGCAGAAAAUAUAUAUCUGUAUCUGCAUAUCUAUAUUUGUCUACCCUAGAUAUAUAAUAUAAAUGAAAUCAUACAAUAUAUUGCCUUUUGUGAUUGACUGUUUUCAUUUAGUGUGUUUUCAAGGUUCAUCCAUGAUGUAACAUGUACCUUAUUCUUUUUUAUUGCUGAAUAGUUUUCUGUUGAAUGGUUAUACCACAUUUUAUUUAUCAAUUUAUCAGUUGAUGGUCAUUUGGAGCAGUUUGUUCUGCACUCUCUCUUUUGCUUUUGGUCUUCACAGAGAAGGGACUUUUAGAAGAGCACUUGAGUGCCAUUACAACUAAACUAAAAGUCCUGAUUUAAGUGUUUCCUAUGUGUAUGUUAUCUGAUCUAUAGUAUUACCUAAACCAAAAUAUGAAGAAUCAAUCAAAUCACCUUUAUUUAAAAAUAGCAAUACUCCUCAACUCUUUUAACAUAUUCAGUUAUACUAUUGAACUCUUUGAUGAUCCUUGUGACUCUUGAUUUCUAACUAACUUUUGAACUUUCUCUUAUAAUAAAUACAGGUACAUUGAUGAAAC
rnacentral:lncRNA from 1 species